UACGUAGGGUGCGAGCGUUAAUCGGAAUUACUGGGCGUAAAGCGUGCGCAGGCGGUUUUGUAAGCCAGAUGUGAAAUCCCCGGGCUUAACCUGGGAAUGGCAUUUGGGACUGCAAAGCUUGAGUGUGGCAGAGGGGGAUGGAAUUCCGCGUGUAGCAGUGAAAUGCGUAGAUAUGCGGAGGAACACCGAUGGCGAAGGCAAUCCCCUGGGCCUGCACUGACGCUCAUGCACGAAAGCGUGGGGAGCAAACAGG
rnacentral:rRNA from 1 species